AUACGGAGGGUGCAAGCGUUAUUCGGAAUCACUGGGCGUAAAGGACGCGUAGGCGGGUUGGCAAGUCAGAUGUGAAAUCCUACAGCUUAACUGUAGAACUGCAUUUGAAACUGCUAACCUAGAGUAUGGGAGGGGGAGAUGGAAUUAGUGGUGAAGGGGUAAAAUCCGUAGAUAUCACUAGGAAUACCGAAAGCGAAGGCGAUCUCCUGGAACAUAACUGACGCUCAGGCGUGAAAGCGUGGGGAGCAAACAGGAUUAGAAACCCUUGUAGUCC
rnacentral:rRNA from 1 species